GAUAUACAUGUGAAUGAAAGGUGUCUCGUCCGAUGAUGCCACCAUAUUGCAGGAUGAGGUCCGGUAGUGAUUGGAUGCCCCUGUUGACAUUAUAAUAUUGUUGUGUGAUGAUUGGUGUGUAUAUGCAGAGCUCCCAUCUCAACAAGACCCACUGGUGCUGGAAACGUCUUCAUUCAGGGCAAGUGCUGUGUUUCAGUGGAGUAGAAAGACAGUCAAGAGCAUUUGGAUCUGAGCCUAAAUUGCUUUAUUCUGUUUUAUGGUCAUUUUGAAAAUAUAUGAAGUGAGUGAGAAUGAGUUAAACUAGAAUAUAGUUAACCUUUAAAA